rnacentral:rRNA from 1 species
UACGUAGGGUGCAAGCGUUGUCCGGAAUUAUUGGGCGUAAAGAGCGUGUAGGCGGCCCGACAAGUCCGCUGUGAAAGUCCAGGGCUCAACCCUGGAAUGCCGGUGGAUACUGUCGGGCUAGAGUCCGGAAGAGGCGAGUGGAAUUCCUGGUGUAGCGGUGAAAUGCGCAGAUAUCAGGAGGAACACCAAUUGCGAAGGCAGCUCGCUGGGACGUUACUGACGCUGAGACGCGAAAGCGUGGGGAGCAAACAGG